ACAUGUGAAGCUUUCUUGCCAAUCUUCGUUGAACUCACACUUCAAAAGUCAUGGUUUUCUUUCCUUAUUUUAUUGUAAUUUUCUGUUUUAUUAUAAAGAAGAUUGCAGAAAAGAAGCAGAAAAGGAGAGCUGAAAGACAAAAAAAGAGUAUCUAAACAACAGAGGACAAAUACUGGAAUCUCUGGAGCUCAUCCCUUCAGAGGGUCCUUCCCAGAAGAACUGUAUCUCCACUACCUUGGUUCUCUGGAAUAAAUUACAAAGUUUUUCUACACCAGGAGUUCCAAAGUCAAGCUACAUUCAAAGAGAGAAACAACAAAUUGGAUACUCAAGUUAUGAACAGUCAGAAGAGUCAGAAAUUCCUUAUGGGAUAGAACAUGUGCAAUUGAAAUCUAAUAUUAAAUUUUCUCUGGAAAAAAACAUAUAUGUGUACUGUAUGGCCAUCUGAUCUUUUUAAAAACAUACUCAGAAUACUUUAAUAAAACACUAUGAGUAUGAAUUAUCUAUGCUCUAAACACUUUACUCCUCUUUCUGCGUUUAUGCCAUCACUUCUUAUCUCUUUAUACCUUGAACUUUUUCUUUCCCCCCUCUCUCACUCUAUGACUCCUGAACAAAACUUUCAUUUCCAAUAUCUAACUUCAUUAACUAAGUAGG